UUUGGAGACAGUACUUUUUGAUGUGGUGACACAAAAAUUUAAAAGCUGGUUUAUGUCUUAAGGUUGUAUGUCAGCUUUCUGUUGCUGUAACAAAAUAUACAAGACCAUCGAUUUAUACAGAGGAAAGGUUUAUUUUAGGUCUCAGUCUUGGAAGUUUCAGUCCACGAUCAGGCAGAUUCAUUGCUCUUGGGCCUGUGGUAAGGCAGCGUAUGGUGUGGGGAGUCUGGGAGAGCAGUAGGUUUACCUCAUGGUCAGAUGCAGAGAGCGAGGGGAAGAAGAAUCAGGUCUGACAGUCCCUUCAAGGGCACAGCUCCAGCGACCUAACUUUUACAAGGCGCCACCUCUUCAGGGCUCCACCACCUCCUGUGGUGCCAUCCCGGGGACAUGGGGCCUGCAUAAUUGGGGACACUCCACAGCAAACCUUGGCAUGUCACAGACCACUUCAAGAGCUUUGCUAGUUGAGCAAGAGCUCUGGUUAACACCAGCCUCUCCUUGCCUACCUUUGCACACCCAAGGUCUGCUCGUGCUGUGCCCAGGAGUGGGCGGCAAGAGCGAGCCCUUCAGGAGCGAGGCGGACUGGGCCAGAGCCGCGGGCGCUGAGGUCCCAGGAGAACUGGGAGGCCAUGGGGCUCGGGAUGUGCCGCGAGGAUGUGAGAAUCCUGCUGGGGACCCCUGUAAGGAAGCCUUCAUCUGGGAAGCGGCACACUGAAAAGACGGGAAUUUGACAGGUGUGGACUUGAGAGGUCUCCGGCCCCGGCAGUGUGCCCUCAGAGGGGUCGCAGGGCCUCGGGCUCUCUCUGCUCCAGCCUGAGAUGUGACUGGUGCCCUAACCCUUGUUCCUGCCAGGGUGUGACAGGAUCUGCCCUCACCAGCCAAGGCGCCGCUCAAUCUUGGCCUUUGAGUCUCCCAAACUGGGAGCUAACAAAACUUUUAUUUUAUAAAGCGAGUUAUUGUGCCAGUAACACAAAGGGAGUGAUGCAGUGUUCUUUGUAGAAAUGGCUUUCCCUGCCAGACCUAGGCUCCUCCAAACUGCCUUGUUACAGGCAGAGCUGUGGUCUGGUGAGCUCUGAACCCGCGCAGCGGAUUUGGGAAAGAAGAGGGCCUGUGACGUCCCCGCCUUGACUGUUAGCCAGCUGGGCAGCCAUCUGCACACGGCUCCUCUGAGAAGCGGGGUGAAGCGGGGCUCCCUGGAGGAGGAGGAGCCACAGGCAGUUAAGGGUGUGGGGUUGCUGGGAUCACACAGUGCUAUGUGCAGAUCCCACAUUUCUAACUGGAACUGAAGCAGAUUUCUGAAAAUUUUAGGACUUCAAUUUCUUUGUAUGUAGAAUGCAGAAAAAAAACACCCUCCUGGUUUUUAAAAUAAGGAGUAAGCGAGAUAAUGUAAGGGGAGCACUUUGCAGAGAGCCUGGUUUGUAGUAAAUACCCAGUAAGGGUUAGGCACCUCGCGUAAUUUGCUAUCAGUCUAGCUACACUCUUACAAUAAAAUUCCUUACGUAUUCAUGUCCUGAAUUUCAUUUGACCCUUAGAAGAACCCUAGGCGGUGGUGGAGUCGAUCUUACUGUAUCUUUAUACGGUAGGGACAGCUGGACUGCAGAAAGCCCGGUGCCAGGCAGAGGGCACCAGGAAGGUGUCGAGUUGGGCUGCACCCUAGCACUUAUCUAUUGAGACCUAAUGUUGAGCAGUCUGUGUUCGAUCCUGGAAUUUAGGAUGAAUGUUAACAGAUGUAUUUCCAGCUAUUGGGGGUUAUGGUCUAGGGAAGAGUAGAGAUCAAAUCGAACAGCCCAGCUUAUAAAUGCAUAGUUCCAACCUGAUUCAAACCCUCUGAAAGCAAGGAACACAGGUGACUCGGGGUGUGCUUACAAAGGGCCCUGGUUAAGACCUGAGGUCAGAGCAAGCUCCCCUGAGGAAGGGGCCCGGCGCAGAGGUCAGAGGCUGCGUCGAGGAUGAGGGCUGGGGUCGGGAACCAGAGCCCACAGGAAGGCCGGGGGCAGCAGACACGGCUGCUUCUGGAAAUGGGGAAGCCGGUAAGGGUGCAGGCCCACAAGCGCAGCGAGGAGGCAGAGUGGUGGAGGGUGACAGUAGAUCCCUGUAGCUGGCAUUUCUUCACCCUGUGCUUGCCAAGUGCGCUGUGCUAGUCUGAGGCCGCCUCACACCCAGUUCUUAGCUGGAGCUUCCCUGUGAAGCUAGGGUGCAAACCCAUCACAAGGCCCGGGGCUGGGCAGGUGUCUGUCCUUUUCCUUCUCCCCUCCCCGUUGAGCUGCCCAGUCUUCCCCGUGGCCUGGGGUGUAUGCCUGUGGGGAGAGCAGCUGCAUGCUGAUUCACCCGGCCCUGGGAGUGUUGUCCUCGGAGGGCAGGGUCUGCGGUUAGGGUCUCCGGUGGCGGCUGGGCUCCAGGUCACGGUCUCUGUUUCCUCACUGUGUGCUUUUUGCCCAACCAGCCACAAACUGAGCCUCCACAACUGUGAGCAAGACAACCUUUUCCUCCUGUAAGUUAAUUGCUUCAGGUGUUUGUUAUGGGUAAAGGCAGUUGACUCACACACUCCUCAGACCUGGUCCUUCCUGCCCUGGUGUCCUGCGUGUGCCCCUGUGACACACAGGCAGUGUGAUGGCUCAGACAGUGAGUACGGUGUCUCCCAGGGGCUCAGCAGCACGUGGUCCGCGUCUCUGCCCAGCACAGUGCACGCCUCCCGCCUCUGCUGAGUGAACCCCUUCCGUGGUGCUUUUAUGCUCAGCCCUUAGGGGGCUUGUGACCGUGGCUUCCACGGGACUUAGUGCAGAAGCAGCCUGGACCAAGGCUUGGAGCUCAGCUGGUCCUGCGGGGCAUUUGCCAGGGGCCUGCCCUGGCGCCUACAGAUGGGGCAGAGGAUGAGCGGGGUGCCCGGAACCUGGUGAGCCAUGGCAGGCUGUAGCCACUGUGAAAAGCGGCCCAGGCUGCUGACUCUGGGCUGGGCGUUAUCUACACUGUGAGCAUCAGGGGCUUGUGCAGUCUUUCCACGGGCAACUCUGAAAAUAACAGUGUUUUUCUUUAUUCCCUUUAAUCCCCUUUUAAAAACUGUGUGGAGUGCUCGUGCUCACUUCGGCAGCACAUAUACUAAAAAUUGUGUGGAAAUGUAUACAGUGCAACCCUGAGCAUUUUAGCCACCUGUAAGUGUGCGAUUCAGUGAUCAGUAGACUCACAUGUAUGUGUAUCUUUCCCAUCCAUUUAGAAAAGAUCUGUAUUUAUGUCCAGACAGAGUUUGUCUUUCUAAAUACCAAGAAGAUUUUUAUCUUAAGGAAGCAGACUGCUCCCAGUGCGUGAGAUUUUAUGAAUUCUCACAGUUUACAAAUACAGGAGAGGAACCCACCGAGGGCAGGUGCUGGGGGUUGAGCGGCUGUGUGAGCCAGACCCGGAGCGCCUCUGCCCCGGCACGGUCUCUCCUCCCUGGCCCUCCGUUCUCCCCUGGUUUCCGCAGUCCUGGGAGCAGGACCAUGGGUGACUGCUGAGGCAGAGCCUCCAGGCCACGCCUGCAGGACUGAAGCUGCCCAGUGAACAACUGUGAUGAAUCUCUGCUCUUGUCUGCUGUAGGUGAUGGGGGGCCGAGGCAAAAUGAGAGCUGAAGCUGAAGGCUUUCUUUUCUUCACCACACAUCAUCGUUUUCAGCUUUGAGGCACGAGGUCUAUUUUAGAGAGCAAGUAACAUUUCACAAACUUUGCAGCCGCAAAGCAGAAACUCAACUGGUCACUUGCGCCGCUGGGCUCUGGGCUGGACACCAAGAGGCGCAGCAGGUUCUGCUUUCGGUCUUGGCAUGGCCUCUGGGCAAGUUGGUGGCUUCUCCGAAACUCAGACCCUUCCCUCAUUGGCACCUGGAAGGAGGGGACUUGACGCUGGUGAGCUUCUCCUUCCCCGGCGUGGCUGGACGGUCGGUCCUACAGCUGCCCCGCUCUGCACGGCUGUGGGACCUGAGAACGGGAUGAGAGGGAGGGCGAGAGGUGUCACCUGCGCCCCACUUCCAGACGACCCCGUGGUGGCUCUCAGGAGGAGAGCCGCAUUCCGGGGGCUGCAGGGACGGCGGGGGUGACUCCGCGCGCACGGGGGCAGCCAAGCCCUUCCUGAGGCAGCUUUCUCAGCCAGGCAUCCUGGGGGUCCGGAGGGAGUCCUGGCCCACACCUGACGCUCCGAGCCUUGUUCUCAGUGUUCUCUAGGGGGAGGGCCACGGACCCCUUUCUUCCUUCUUUUCCUGUCCUCUUCACCCAGGCCGAGAGCGCGUUUGCAUCCCAGGCUUGCAGGAGCUUUCCCGAGCUGUGUGCCUGUUGUUGAUUUACGGGGGCCUGCCUCCCCGUGUGCGCCUGGCUGCAUAACUUAACGGGAUCUGUCACCUCAAUAGGCCGCCGAGCAGCUGCGUGCGGGAGCAGCUGCCUGCUCUGCCUUUGUUUGGUCUCAGCGCCCUCUUAUCCAACCGCCGGGGGCCUGUCUCCUCCCAGCCCUGAUUCGUGCUGCCUGUCCCCUGCCCACCGAGUGCACUGGGUGGCCCAGGAAUACACAGUUCUUGCACAGUUUAUGAUAGCGAUGGUGAGCAGAGGUCGUUCAUAAACAGUGAGUCGUGGGUGGCAGCGUUAGCUCCUAAAAAUCAUAAUCAACUCUCCAGGUGGCCUCUUAAAUUUGCGUGGGGCUUUCCUGCUCAUCCAUAAAAUAGGCUGUGUUCGCCAGAGGCGUCGGUGUUGGCAGGAGUAUAGAGCUCGUGUUCGGCCUUUGAGGCCUCCAACUGGAGCACGAUCCAACCCGGGGCCCACGAGGAUCUGGUUCCCAACAUGCACGUGCACACACGCACACGCACUCACACGUGGGCGCUCGUGCGCAGCAUGCUCCAGCACGCGCACCUGGCGCAGGGGACUUCACUCUGGGCGCAGAGGGAGCUGGCGCUUUGGCCACAGCGGGCUCCUUGAAGACUCGGGGUUCAGAAAAGCCCCUGUGCGGGCUCCAUCUCUCCUCUCCUGGAAGCACCCCCUUUCCCUUCAAAUCUCAGCGACCUCUGUCAUGUCCUCUACCAAAUCUUGGAGCAGAUCUGAUAUCAUUUGCUCAGGCCUGGGGUGUGGCGUGAACUCUCAUGGCAGGUGAGUAGGUGCUCGGAAGCCCUGCCACCUGUACCCCUGUUGCCAUUGGCUUCAGGUCCCUGGCAGCUGCCUGUGGCCCGGGCCUGUCUGUCCCUUUGACUGUCGAUGUUAGAGAGCACCUGGGCCAGGGUUCACGACCCUCCCUAAAGUCACCCGAAAACCGGCCGCAACGCCAGCAGGGCUUCCUUGAGAAGACAGAUUUUGUCAGCAAUACACAGGGUUCAGUGGGUCCCAGCUUUUCCAUUUCCUGGGCAUGAGGUCUCAGGCAAAUCAUUAUUUAACCUCUCCAAGCCUCAGUUUCCCCAUCUAUAAAAAUCAGAAAGGAACCUACUCCAGAGAGGCUGCCAAUGGGAUUGUAAGAGCGCCUGUGUGUGAAGGGCUGUCUUGUUUCACACUCAAUGUGUGGCAGCUAAAAUGCGUGAUACUAUGGUUCUAUUAUCUCUUUGGCCCAAGGCCUUGAUCUAGGAAGGGGAGAUGUCUGAUGGUCACAUCUGCCAAAAGAACCCAGCGCUGCUCUCCACGCAGGGCCAGCCAAAGCCUCACUUUUCUGUUUAGCGUGGGAAGAAUGACACACUCCUCCUGAUGCAAGAAUUUGGCCCAGACCUGCUGGCCUGUGAAGCGGUCAGCACUGAAGUCUCUGAGCACCUUCUGGGAGGGGCCGGGCUGGAACACAGGGCGCUGUGUAAGACCAGGCUGGCAGAAGGUCUGACCCAGGUCACAGCUGGGAGCUGGGAGCUUUACCCGGCACAUAUUUCCCAUCCCCUUCUCCCUGGCACCCAGACCCAGGUACUUUCCAGACAGCCAUGGUUCACCUGGGCUGUUCCCAGGCACAGCCCUGACCCUAGGUCUCUCCCGUGAGCUCAUCUCUGCAAAUGUGUAAAUGCAGAUGGCCACGGGUAUCAUCCCUCUCUCUCUUCGAAGAUGCUGUGUGUGUUAGCUUUCUGGUGCUGGGACAAAAUACUUGAGAAAAACAACUUAUUAGGAGAAAAAAUUGUUUUGGCUCAUAGUUUCUGAGGUUUCAGUCCAUGGCCACUUGGCCCCAUGGCCUGGGGCCUGUCGCAGCAGAGCAUGUCAUGGUGCAGAGCAUAGCAGAAGAAACUGCUCACCUCAUAGCGCCUGGCAAGGGAGAGAAAAAGAAGGAAGAAGGGCUGGGGCCCGGUACGUCCCUCAGGACACACCCCCAGUGCCUGACUUCCUCCAGACUCGGGCCCUGGGCAGCUGGCGAGGACGCAGAGCUGAUGGCAACGAGAGUGAGCCGUUGUGAUGCCAACUGCCACGAGGCCUCAUCAGAGGCUAAACCAGUGGGGCUGCCUCAUCUUAGACUUUCAGUCUCCAAGAAAUUCCAGGUUAUAGACUUUUAACUAAUAACCCUCACCAAACAACCAGCUGGCUUUGGAAGCUUCCCCCAAAGAAAACGCAGAGGAUAAGAAGAGAACACAAAGAUGCUGGAGUGGAUUCUUCAGCUUCUAGUAUGAACUAGUUGUAAUUUUUGUUAGAAGUAAAAACAGUACAAUCAGAUCCGAAAAGAAGUCAGCCAAAACUAUGUGAAUGUUUUGAGAAGAUUAUGUGAGUCAUAGCUAUAUAGCCAUUUUGUUCAUCAUGACCUUAAACUAUGUGUAUAUUGUACCUUGAGAUAUAAGAGAACAAGAAUGUCACUGUAGGCAAGGCGAUAAAAUAUGACCUAUGGAGAAUGUAAAGACACAUCGCAGCAUUUCCCCACCAAAGUUUAAAGUUUUGCAACAUUUCAGCACUUACCCAUUUUUACUAAACAAAUAAUAAUAAAUAUUUAGCUGCUUAGAAGCCAUAUACAAUGGUAAAACUGCCCACAAUAACACAUGGAAAAAAUAUGGGAAUGAUUUUUAAAUGUAGUCUUUUUCUUUCAUAAAAUAUCAUCAAGAUGCAUGGAAAGCAAUUGCUGAAUAUUUGAAGAAACACAUAUUAGAAUACAUAGUGCAACGUGGGAAUUUUCCCAUAUAGUCAGAUGAGAGUAUAUGUUUCCCACAGUAUUCAGUUAUUGCAGGUGCUAAAUUCUGUUGUAAAAAUGAAACACAUAAGGUAUGUUCUUGUAAGCCACUACAAAAGGACAAUGAAAGUGUAUUAGUUACUUUUCUCAUCACUGAGACACAAUACCUGGCACUCAACUUAAAGAAGGAGAGGUUUGUUUCAGUUCAUAUUUUCAGUCCAUAGUCCGCUGGCUCCCUGGCAGGAAGGACAUGGCAGAAGAGUGUGAUGGGGGAAAGCUCCUCACAGCAUGGCGGCCAGGAAGCAGAGAGAAGGGAAGAGCCUGGGAAGGAGAUAGAGCCUUCCAGGUCACACCCCCGUGACCCACCUCCUUCAGCGUAUAACUAUGAGCCCAUUAGUGGGCCAAUCCACCACUGAGUAUACCACCCUCAUGAACUACUCACCUUCCAAACACGUCAGACUUUGGGGGAAUAAUCCAGAUCUAAACCAUAAUAGGAAGGAGAUAUAUUCUCAGUAAUGAAGAUGACUUCUAGAAUGGUGGGUUAGUCAGCUUUUCAUCACUAUAAGGGGAACUUUUUUUUUUUUUGGUGCAGGGGAUUGAACUUGGAACCUUGCACUUGUGAGACAGGCGCCUGAACCACUAAGCUAAAUCCCUGGCUCUAGCUUUUCAUUACUAUAAUGGGAUACCUGAGAUGAUCAACUUACAAAGACAGAAGGUUUACUUUUGCUUAGGGUUUUGAGGGUGCCAGUCCAUGAUUGGUUGGCUCCAUUGCUUCAGGCCUGUGGUGAGCUAGGACAUCAUGGCAGAAGUGCUGGGUGGAGCUCACAUAUGGCUCAGAGGCAAAAGAGCAGGGAUGCCACAAUCCCAUUCAAGAGUGCACCCCAGUGGCCCAAAGACUUUCCACUACACCCUGCCUCUUAAAGUUUCCACCACCUCCAAGAAGUGCCACCCCAGGGACCAAGCCUUUCACACAUAGUCUUUGGGGGUACAUUUCAGAGCCAGACUAUAACAAAUAGCUUAAAAAUGCAGACAGAAGUGUAGCCAGGGCAUAGGCUUCAACUGCAAUAAGAAGAUACCUGUGCAUCAUAACAGAGCUGCCAGGGAGCCCAGAGUAUCAUGAUUCAAAUUACUAGUUUGCUGGCUGUGACUGUGGAUGAGUUCCCUAAAUGUAUGAGUCCAUUUUCUGUUACUAUGACAAAAUACCUGAGAUUGACUGGUUUAUAAAGUAAAGAGGUUUAUCUUGGCUCAUGGUUCUGGAGGUGCAGUCACAUCUCAAGAUGGGCUUCUUGCUGGCAGUGUCCUGAGGGGCACAGGGCAUCACGUGGCAAGAGACAGGAAGCUGGGACAUGUGCGUGUCCUCUGGCCUCUCUCUCUUCUUAUAAAGCUACCAGGUCCAAUCAUAGUGACCUUGCCUAUCUUAAUCACCUCUCAGAGGCCCCACCCCUAAACAACACAUGCCAUUCACACAUCCACAUUCUUAAUACCCUGGGACAGGGGUUAAAUUUCAACUGCGGAGCCCUGGAGAUGCUCACAUCAUAUCUAGAUCACAGCAUGUAACUUCCCUGUCCCUCAGUUUCCUUGCCUAUGAAAUGGGGACAAUAACUGUAUCCACUUGAGGGACAGUUUGGAAAAUUAAACUCAUAUGCUUGAAGUAUUUAAAUUGCAACAAGCAUAUAUCAAGUGCUCAACAGAUACAGUCGAAUAAUUUACACCACACUUGAAAUACGUUUCUUAGCAAACUACCAUGGUAAAGAAUUGGAAGUUGGAAAGGUCAAGUUCUCCACUGAAUAUCAGUGAUAUGGUUCAGUUCAUAAAAUAGAGCUUUUAAUAUGUCAUGAAAUUUUUAUAAUAUUUUUAAAGACAAAGAAUGAGUGAAAAAUUUUUAUCUACAAUAGGUUGGAUAUGUAUGUUGUAGCAAAUUAUGCAAGAUAGUAAAUAUAAAAGGAAUUAGGAAUUUUUGUGUCUAUGUUACCUAACUCUCAAAAUAUAAAAACAUCUGGAAUCUGUCCCUCAAACUAUAGUGAUAUUCAAUAAUAAAUGAUAAAAUAAUGCCUCUGAAAGAAGUAUUGAGAGCAGUUUGGUUUCCAACUUGGUGAUUUUAUUGUUAGAAAAAGUAUAGUUAUAAUAUAUAUAAAAACUGUCAUAUUUGCUCAAAUCAAAAUGUGGAAACAGGAUUUUCUUGUUAAAAGAUCUGCCAAUGAAAAUGUUAGUGUUUUGGAUGCAUUUGUUUAAAAUAUAGAAAAAGUAAGACCUAUGAUUGAUAUCAUAGAAAUAGGAUUUCACUUAGGCUAACUUUGAUAUACUUAGUAUGUGAAAAUGAAAAUUAAUUUCUUGUAGUAAAUACUAUAUGGUCAAUUAUUGCUUUUAUACUAUUUUAUCUGUGUCAUCAUAAAAGAAUGUUUUCAAUUAUGGUAACUAUCAAAACCUAGUAUAAAAAUACACUGAAUCUUCAAUUGUAUCAUAAAGUGUUGACCUAAAAGUUACACAAAUAAUAGAACAUAUCAAAAAUUGCAUUUCUCUAUACCAAAAUAUUUUUGUAGUAUAAAUGAAUAAAAUAAAUUUAAAACACUGUUUACAGUGACCAUAAUGUGUAUUUGAUCAUGCACAUAAUAUUUUGGCUCAAUAGUACCCAGGUGCAAUUUAUAAAAAUAAAUAUUUAUCAUUUUUUAUUAGGGCAUAUACUCCAAUAUGAGUUUUGGUAGGCUUAUGUCACAGUUGUCAAAGUGCAGGAAGCCAUUUACUCCCCUAUCCUUAAUUACUUAGGUUGUUCCCCGCCUUGCCUUUUUAAAAACUUUAUUUUUUUGGUACUGGGGGUCGAACUUGGGUCCUUGUGCUUGUGCAGUAGGUGGCGAAACCACUGAGCUAAAUCCCCGGCCCCUUAAAAACUUUUUAAAAUGAUGUAGGAAGCAUCUUAUGUGUAAAUCAUUUCACUUACUUCCUAGGGGUAGAUUCCUGGUCGUGAGAGUGUUUCCUUUUGCGUUUAUUUACUCACGUACAGUUUUCCUGCAGAGAGACUGUGACAGCUGAAGUCUCCAGCAGGGGCCGUGAGGGCGCGUCCCCUUUUUCAUCUGACUUCAUCUGGUAGUUGGCCUGUCAAGGAGGAACAGUGAAACUGGGCCCACAGGGAAGACUGCGUUUAGGCAUGAAGCCUGCCUGGCCACAGGCAAAGGCCACCGGGCAACCUAUGCUUUGGGUCCUUUCUGGCAAGGA